UACGUAGGUGGCAAGCGUUGUCCGGAAUUAUUGGGCGUAAAGCGCGCGCAGGCGGUUCCUUACGUCUGAUGUGAAAGCCCACGGCUCAACCGCGGGGGGUCAUUGGGAACUGGGGGGCUUGAGUGCAGAAGAGGAGAGCGGAAUUCCAGGUGUAGCGGUGAAAUGCGUAGAGAUGUGGAGGAACACCAGUGGCGAAGGCGGCUCUCUGGUCUGUAACUGACGCUGAGGCGCGAAAGCGUGGGGAGCAAACAGG
rnacentral:rRNA from 1 species